CUCUGCUUUCUGCUCCCUGCCGUAUCUGGCACUGCAUCACCUGGCCCCUCCCCAAUCUCCCUCAUGCCGCACAGAGGCUGCCAAUGCCAUUUGUGGCACUCGUGUCUCAAGCUGGCCAUCCCAGGUUUAGAUGUUUCAGAAACCCUAUGGUGAUAUUCUGUUAAAUCUUAUAGGUUUUAGAGGAGAGAGAAGAGUUUCUAAUAGACCCUUCUUAAUUUUCAAUAAAUUAAACAUUAUUGAUUCCGUUCUUGCUUAACCCCAGGGGUAGUUUGUUAGCCAAGUAUUAAAGAACUCCAAGCUCUUAAUUUUGCAGCGUAGUCUGAAAAACUAGCUUUAGAGCUACCUGUGAACCUCCAGCUCUGCCGUAGUCAGUAAUCAGAACAACUGCACAGGUUUUGCUGCCCAAUUUUAUAGGUAGGUGCUUGUUUGAUGGGUCUUUGGGAAAGUACCUGACUGACCUCCGAGCUGUAUUCGGUUUGCUGCUACUUGCUAACUUAGACAGCAAAGGAAAAAAUAAACCAGGAUCUGUAGUCACGAGACACACAAUGCUCUCAUUCGGACCCUGGAUAUUGCGAAGGAUGUACAAGCCUCCUCGCUGAUCAUUGGGAUUAGUUGUUGGAGCUUGAAUCUUCAUUAGGACAGAGCCUGCAGCAGCUGUUUGUAAGGUCUCCACUACUAUCUUAUCCCUCAUAUCGUGUGUGUCCUUUCCCAGCAGUAACUAAUGUUUCCCUGGGAACGUGUCAGUGCCUGCUUGGCCAGCCGAGCUCUUCUGAGAUAUUGGUGUAACUGGGGAAUUUGCUUUGCUUUAGGGAACAGCUUGACUUGCAGGCGAAAAAGGGUUAUCCCGGAGGCCAAGUCCAGAGCUUCUGAGACGAGCAAGCAGCUUGAGCUUGUUUUUGCCAUGGGAGGCUGGCACCACAGGGAUGCCAUCAGCGGGGUAGAACAUUAUAACCCCCUCCAGCAUGAAUGGGAACUGCUGGGCUCUGUCUCUCGACCACACCGUGGGGCAGGAGUGGCUUCUCUGAAAAACUGCAUCUAUGCCAUUGGGGGCUAUGAUGGCACGACAUGUCUCAGCAGCGUGGAGAGGUACGAUCCCGAAGCAAACGAAUGGAGCUGUGCUGUGGCCCCGCUGCAGGAAAGCAAGCGAGAUGUGGGAUUGGCAGAGCUGGGCAGUUACCUCUACUGUGUAGGCAGUCCUGAUGGAUUGCUCUGCCUUAGCACGGUGGAAAGGUACGAUCCGAGUGAGGACAAGUGGUGCAAGGUGGCCCCUGUGGCCCGCUGCCGGGUGGGCUUAGGCGUGGCAGUGCUCGAUGGCUACCUCUACGCUGUGGGUGGCUCAGAUGGCCAGUCUCUGCUCCAUUCAGUGGAACGAUACGAUCCCGUCGAGGAUACGUGGUCCCCUUGCCCUCCUCUUGGGAUGUGCAGGGAAGAUCUCAGCUGUGCAACCUUCCGAGGGAAGAUCUGGGGGGCCAGGACGACCUCGCAGAGCUCUGCAGCGUUGAGCAGUUUGAUCCAGUCUCCAACAAAUGGUCCCCUGCAAUGCCCAUGCAGUCGAAGAGGAAUAAGGUGAAAGCUGCUGUCGCCAACGGAUACUUACUGGCUGUCGGGGGCUUUGGUGGCGUUGUGCACGUGAUCACCGUAGAAGCAUUUGACCCAGACGUCAACAGGUGGAGGCUUUUGGGAAACGCCCGGAGCUGUCACCCUGGCGGGGGUGUGGCUGUGCUGAACAUGACCCCCUAGGACCUGAGGACUUCCUUUUCACUCUCCGGUGCAGCUAAUGUGGUUUUGUGGGUUGGUAGUUUAGACAAGGGAGAGGACCGGAGUAGCAGGGAGUGGGUAAGCUGGGGGAGGAGGACGACAUUGCUUUCACGACUGAGACCAAACUCUCGGGCAGCCUGGCUGGAUGCAACUCUGUUCUGCCCCAGGGGGUUUGGGCAGGGGCUCCCCUUGCUCUGCAUGUCUCAGCCUGCAGUGAAC